CAAUCCGUUUUCCUUGCACUGCAGGUCCCCUCUCCUUUCCACCUCCCAAUCCCCGGUUGCUGAAGGGGUGAAAACCCCUUCAAGUCACUUACCUGAGACUCCGCCGAUGUCCCUCGGCGGUGGUUUCUUCUCGCCGCCGCUCCUCCCAGUCUUUACAUCGGCCGGUGGGCAAGACUGAUCCCGCACACCGGCCGGGGAGACCUAAUGUGCAUGCGCGGCAAUGCCGCGCAUGCGCAUUAGAGCUCCCCAUAGGAAAGCAUUGAAAAUGCUUUUC